UACGUAGGGUGCAAGCGUUAAUCGGAAUUACUGGGCGUAAAGCGUGCGCAGGCGGUUUUGUAAGCCAGAUGUGAAAUCCCCGGGCUUAACCUGGGAAUGGCAUUUGGGACUGCAAGGCUUGAGUGCGGCAGAGGAGACUGGAAUUCCUGGUGUAAGCAGUGAAAUGCGUAGAUAUCAGGAGGAACACCGAUGGCGAAGGCAGGUCUCUGGGCUGACACUGACGCUCAUGCACGAAAGCGUGGGGAGCAAACAGG
rnacentral:rRNA from 1 species